GAUCUGGUGGUCUAAUUGUAUGAUGUCUGUCUUACACACAGGAGAUGAAUUAAUUCCGUGAUUA
rnacentral:tRNA from 1 species